rnacentral:miRNA from 1 species
GGCUGGUUAGUUGGUUGUUU